UAUCUAUUGCUCGCCUUAAUACAUAGGUAAUAUUAUUAUUAUCGUCGUCGUCGUCGUUUCAUUCGCCUACGCGACAACGCCGUUAACGCACGCACACGUCGUCUACGUCGUCUCCGUCAGUUCUACAAUUAUUUCCGUUCUCGAUGUAAUGAUUAGUACAAUAUACUUAUGCCGUCUCUCGUCAUAAUAAUAUUAUCACGCGUAGCACAGUAUGCCGGUACAACGUCGUCGUGUAUAAUAUAAGAGUUUCGCCGAAAACUUUUUAUAAUAUAACGUCAUCGCCGUCUUAUAGAAGAGGAAUUAUAUCUAUUAAAUGACAUACAAAGGAAAAUUUAAAGAACGUACAUUCACAAUGGCACUAAAUCAAUAUGCGAUUAUAAAAAUUAUCUAGGUACCUACUCCUCAAGUGUUCAUUCGUAAAUGGGAUUUAAGUGAAGCAAAACAACAAAAUAUUUAUGAGCAUAAUAUACAUUAAAAAUUCUCAUGAUUAUAAAUACAUAAUACAAAUACAC